UGGGGAAUUGUUCGCAAUGGGCGCAAGCCUGACGACGCAACGCCGCGUGGAGGAUGAAGGUCUUCGGAUUGUAAACUCCUGUUGCCCGGGACGAAAAGCCUCGACCUAACACGUCGAGGCCUGACGGUACCGGGUGAGGAAGCCCCGGCUAACUCUGUGCCAGCAGCCGCGGUAAUACAGAGGGGGCAAGCGUUGUUCGGAAUUACUGGGCGUAAAGGGCGCGUAGGCGGCCUGCUAAGUCGAACGUGAAAUCCCCGGGCUCAACCCGGGAACUGCGUCAGAUACUGGUUGGCUUGAAUGCGGGGGAGGGAGGCGGAAUUCCUGGUGUAGCGGUGAAAUGCGUAGAUAUCUGGAGGAACACCGGUGGCGAAGGCGGCAUCCUGGGCCGGCAUUGACGCUGAGGCGCGAAAGCGAGGGGAGCAAACAGG
rnacentral:rRNA from 1 species